AUGGAUACCAAUAGAGCACCCGGCCCUGAUAAUAUCCCUGCAGAGUUCUACCAACAUUGUUGGGAUAUUGUCGAAGAUGACAUUAUGAGGAUUUUUAGGCACUUCCAUGAUGGGACGCUUGAUGUGCAGCGUCUCAACUACGGAGUGAUCACUCUCCUUCCUAAGGUGUCGGGCGCCGAGUGCAUUCAACAAUUCCGACCCAUUUGCCUUCUCAGAUGUCCGUAUAAACUGAUUACUAAGACAAUGGAUCGGAGAGUUGAGAAGUACGCUGAUAAGCUGAUUAGCCUUUCGCAGAAUGCAUUUGUGAAGGGUAGGAAUAUUGUGGAUGGAAUCAUGACUCUUCAUGAGCUCCUGAACUACACUCAUGUUAAGAAAAGAACUGGGGUGGUACUGAAAUUGGACUUUGAGAAGGCAUACGAUAAAGUCAACUCGGAGUUCCUUUUGGAAUGCCAUAAGUUGAGAGGCUUCGAUGAAACUUGGUGUGGGUGGGUGAGACAGAUCCUGUACAACGGUACAGUUAGCAUUAAGCUGAAUAACUCUGUAGGCCCGUACUUUCAGAGUGCGAAGGGGGUGCGUCAGGGGGACCCGCACUCCCCUUUCCAGUUCAAUUUGGCUGCAGACUGCUUAAAUAAAAUGAUUAAUAAAGCUCAACAAAAUGGCCUGCUGACUGGUUUAGCUGCUGAUCUCAUCCCAAAUGGGGUGGCCGUUCUGCAGUAUGCAGACGACACGAUCAUUUUCCUGGAC
rnacentral:rRNA from 1 species